CUUGCUUUAGCACAACAGGAACGAUGGCGUCCGUGUAGACUGCUGUUGACUCCAGAGAGUCAGGUGAUUUACAAUGACCCGGAGGUUGUGGGUUUAGAAGAUUGCCUUCAGGUGGAUCAUCCACGUUUUUGCUAAGCAGGGUAGUCCAGACGUCACUCUCCCCAGCAACGCUUUCCAGCUCCUCCUGGGGGAUCCCAAGGUUUUCCCAGGCCAGAUGAGAUGUUAGUUCAGUAAUUUCAUUUCACAAAGGAGGCAGCAGGUGAGUCUGGGGAAAAUCACAUCCAGCACCCAGACAAUCAGCACUGGCGCCCUUAAGGGUUGUGUGCUCUCCCCUCUGCUCUUCUAUACAUCCAUCACUGACUGUCUGUUUUGGAUCAGCCACCAAAGAAGACAGGAACAGACUACAUUACACACAGUCAGGACUGCAGAAAAAAACACUGGUGCCAACCUACUCUCCAUUCAGGACUUAUACAUCUCCAGAGUCAGGAAACAGGCAAGAAACAUCACUGCAGAUCCAUCACACCCUAGAUACAACCUGUUCCAACUUCUCUCCUCUGGUAGGCGCUACAGAGCACUGUACAGCUAAACAACUAGACACAAGAACAGUAUCUUCCCACAGGCCAUCACUAUAAUGAACAGUUAACAUCAGUCACAUAGUGUUAACAACAACAAUCCCUGUGCAAUAACCCUGUAACACUAAACAUCCACUGUACCUACAAAUUAUAAAUUAUAUAUUUUAUGGUUUAAAUACACACUGUCUUUUUAACAUGUACAUAUCAUCAUUGUCAAAUAUAAGUCUAAGCACACUAUAUACUGUAUAUACUGUCAUAUCCACCUAAUUCAUGUAUAUAAAGUAACGUGUUACACUUUGCACUCUGCACCAUUGCACUAUUGUCUUAUUGUUUACAGAUUUCAUAGUUUAUUUAAUAUAUACCUUUUAUAUAUACACAUUUAUAUAUAUUUUUUUACCUACUUGUAUCUACAUAAUAGUUAAAUGUUUAUGUUUACCUUUGUUCAGCUUUUUGUCCUUGUUUUUAGCUGUAUGUCUAUUUCUGUGUAAGUACAUUGAGAGCAACGAAAAACCGGAGUCAAAUACCUUAUAUGUGUACGCAUACUUGGCCAAUAAAGCUGUUUCUGAUUCUGAUACUUAGCAACAUUUCAAAGAGAAAUAUUGCACUUUUAUUUAUUUUACAACUAGUUACAGUACAGUGACUUUGCAGAUUAAGAUUUACAAACAAAACAUAUGAUAGUCUCGUGAAAUAUGAAGCAAUGUUACAGAUUAAACUACCCAAAAGUAUAUCAAAUCAAAACAAAUCAAUCAACAACGUUAAAAUGCUUUUAAAACUCUAAUAAAAUAAUUAUAUAACAUUCUAAAGGGGUCAUUCUGCAUUUAUGAAUAAUGAGCACUUUUACUUUACAUGUUGCUGAUUUUGUUUACUUAAUUAAAGUCAUAAGUUAAUUAAAGCCAUUGCAGGGCCUUUGCUUGUAAUUAAUUCAGCAAUGAGAUCUUUCCAUCAUUGUUUGAUACCUAAUUAUUAUGAUUAUGGCCAACCUUACACUAGUCAACUUCCUAAUGUGAUGAGCAGCCAAGACAUGGAUGAGGAAAAAUAUAUUAAAUCUGGGACCUCCCUAAUAUAUGACUGUGAAUUUAAUAGAUGUGAAUAGAGAGGAUGUAGCAAAUUAUACAAUUAAUGUGACGAAGGAAUAUAUUAGCCAUCGUGUUAUGGGAAAAGAGACAGCAAAAAUUGUGUUUGAAUUACUUAUAUUUUUAUCGGCCAUGACAUAUUCAUUAAAAUGUUGAAUAAAUCCUUUAAACAUCUAAA